ACCAAGAAAUGGUCUCCACCAGAAAUCCAAGAAUGUGAUCUAUGGCAAGGAAACAUAUGUGGGGUGAGGUGUAUGAGCGUCUGGUCGAUGAUCAAUGGACACACAACCCCCAUUUUUGUCGAAAAUAGCCAUGAACGACCAUUUUCAAUAAUACCGAAGGCUAACACCUACGGAUUUUUGACCAAGAAAUGGUCUCCACCAAUAAUCCAAGAAUGUGAUUUAUGGCAAAGAAACAUAUGUGGGGUGAGGUGUAUGAGCCUCUUGUCGACGAUCAAUGGCCACACAACCCUAAUUUUUGUCGAAAAUAGCCAUGAACGACCAUUUUCAAUGACACUGAAGGCUAACACCUACGGAUUUUUGACCAAGAAAUGGUCUCCACCAUAAAUCCAAGAAUGUGAUCUAUGGCAAGGAAACAUAUGUGUAGUGAGGUGUAUGAGCCUCUGGUCGAAGAUCAAUGGCCACACAACCCCCAUUUUUGUCGAAAAUAGCCAUGAAUGACCAUUUUCAAAAAUACCAAAGGCUAACACGUACGGAUUUUUGACCAAGAAAUGGUCUCCACCAGAAAUCCAAGAAUGUGAUCUAUGUCAAGGAAACAUAUGUGGGGUGAGGUGUACGAGCCUCUGGUCGAUGAUCAAUGGCCACACAACCCCCAUUUUGCCGAAAAUAGCCAUGAACGACCAUUUUCAAUAAUACCGAAGGCUAACACGUACGAGUUUUUAACCAAGAAAUGGUCUCCACCAGAAAUCCAAGAAUGUGAUCUAUGGCAAUGAAACAUAUGUGGGGUGAGGUUUAUGAGCCUCUAGUCGAUGAUAAAUGGCCACACAACCCCCAUUUUUUAUGAAAAUAGCCAUGAGCGACCUUCAAAAUAGCCAUGAGCGACCAUUUUCAAUAAUACUAGAGGCUAACACCUACGGAUUUUAGACCAAGAAAUGGUCUCCACCAGAAAUCCAAGAAUGUGAUCUAUGGCAAGGAAACAUAUGUGGGGUGAGGUGUAUGAGCGUCUGGUCGAUGAUCAAUGGCCACACAACCCCCAUUUUUGUCGAAAAUAGCCAUGAACGACCAUUUUCAAUAAUACCUAGGCUAACACCUACGGAUUUUUGACCAAGAAAUGGUCUCCACCAGAAAUCCAAGAAUGUGAUCUAUGGCAAGGAAACAUAUGUGGGGUGAGGUGUAUGAGCCUCUGGUCGACGAUCAAUGGCCACACAACCCUAAUUUUUGUCGAAAAUAGCCAUGAACGACCAUUUUCAAUGACACUGAAGGCUAACACCUACGGAUUUUUGACCAAGAAAUGGUCUCCACCAUAAAUCCAAGAAUGUGAUCUAUGGCAAGGAAACAUAUGUGUAGUGAGGUGUAUGAGCCUCUGGUCGAAGAUCAAUGGCCACACAACCCCCAUUUUUGUCGAAAAUAGCCAUGAAUGACCAUUUUCAAAAAUACCAAAGGCUAACACAUUCGAUUUUUGCCCAAGAAAUGGUCUCCACCAGAAAUCCAAGAAUGUGAUCUAUGGCAAGGAAACAUAUGUGGGGUGAGGUGUACGAGCCUCUGGUCGAUGAUCAAUGGCCACAGAACCCCCAUUUUGCCGAAAAUAGCCAUGAACGACCAUUUUCAAUAAUACCGAAGGCUAACACGUACGAGUUUUUGACCAAGAAAUGGUCUCCACCAAAAAUCCAAGAAUGUGAUCUAUGGCAAGGAAACAUAUGUGGGGUGAGAUUUAUGAGCCUCUAGUCGAUGAUAAAUGGCCACACAACCCCCAUUUUUUUAUGAAAAUAGCCAUGAGCGACCAUUUUCAAUAAUAUUAGAGGCUAAGACCUACGGAUUUUUGACCAAGAAAUGGUCUCCACCAGAAAUCCAAGAAUGUGAUCUAUGGCAAGGAAACAUAUGUGGGGUGAGGUGUAUGAGCCUCUGGUCGAUGAUCAAUGGCCACACAACCCCCAUUUUUGUCGAAAAUAGCCAUGAAUGACCAUUUACAAUAAUACCGAAGGCUAACACCUACGGAUUUUUUACCAAGAAAUGGUCUCCACCAGAAAUCCAAGAAUGUGAUCUAUGGCAAGGAAACAUAUGUGGGGUGAGGUGUAUGAGCCUCUGGUCGAUGAUCAAUGGCCACACAACCCCAUUUUUGUCAAAAUAGCCAUGAACGACCAUUUUCAAUAAUAUCGAAGGCUAACACCUACGGAUUUUUGACCAAGAAAUGGUCUCCACCAGAAAUCCAAGAAUGUGAUCUACGACAAGGAAACAUAUGUGGGGUGAGGUGUAUGAGCCUCUGGUCGACGAUCAAUGGCCACACAACCCCCAUUUUGCCGAAAAUAGCCAUGAAUGACCAUUUUCAAUAAUACCGAAGGCUAACACGUACGAGUUUUUAACCAAGAAAUGGUUUCCACCAGAAAUCCAAGAAUGUAAUCUAUGGCAAGGAAACAUAUGUGGGGUGAGGUUUAUGAGCCUCUAGUCGAUGAUAAAUGGCCACACAACCCCCAUUUUUUAUGAAAAUAGCCAUGAGCGACCUUGAAAAUAGCCAUGAGCGACCAUUUUCAAUAAUAUUAGAGGCUAAGACCUACGGAUUUUUGACCAAGAAAUGGUCUCCACCAGAAAUCCAAGAAUGUGAUCUAUGGCAAGGAAACAUAUGUGGGGUGAGGUGUAUGAGCCUCUGGUCGAUGAUCAAUGGCCACACAACCCCCAUUUUUGUCGAAAAUAGCCAUGAAUGACCAUUUACAAUAAUACCGAAGGCUAACACCUACGGAUUUUUGACCAAGAAAUGGUCUCCACCAGAAAUCCAAGAAUGUGAUCUAUGGCAAGGAAACAUAUGUGGGGUGAGGUGUAUGAGCCUCUGGUCGAUAAUCAAUGGCCACACAACCCCCAUUUUUGUCGAAAAUAGCCAUGAACGACCAUUUUCAAUAAUAUCGAAGGCUAACACCUAUGGAUUUUUGACCAAGAAAUGGUCUCCACCAGAAAUCCAAGAAUGUGAUCUACGACAAGGAAACAUAUGUGGGGUGAGGUGUAUGAGCCUCUGGUCGACGAUCAAUGGCCACACAACCCCCAUUUUGCCGAAAAUAGCCAUGAAUGACCAUUUUCAAUAAUACCGAAGGCUAACACGUACGAGUUUUUAACCAAGAAAUGGUUUCCACCAGAAAUCCAAGAAUGUAAUCUAUGGCAAGGAAACAUAUGUGGGGUGAGGUUUAUGAGCCUCUAGUCGAUGAUAAAUGGCCACACAACCCCCAUUUUUUAUGAAAAUAGCCAUGAGCGACCUUGAAAAUAGCCAUGAGCGACCAUUUUCAAUAAUACUAGAGGCUAACACCUACGGAUUUUAGACCAAGAAAUGGUCUCCACCAGAAAUCCAAGAAUGUGAUCUAUGGCAAGGAAACAUAUGUGGGGUGAGGUGUAUGAGCGUCUGGUCGAUGAUCAAUGGCCACACAACCCCCAUUUUUGUCGAAAAUAGCCAUGAACGACCAUUUUCAAUAAUACCGAAGGCUAACACCUACGGAAUUUUGACCAAGAAAUGGUCUCCACCAGAAAUCCAAGAAUGUGAUCUAUGGCAAGGAAACAUAUGUGGGGUGAGGUGUAUGAGCCUCUGGUCGACGAUCAAUGGCCACACAACCCCCAUUUUUUAUGAAAAUAGCCAUGAGCGACCUUGAAAAUAGCCAUGAGCGACCAUUUUCAAUAAUACUAGAGGCUAACACCUA
rnacentral:lncRNA from 1 species